rnacentral:rRNA from 1 species
UACGAAGGGGCUAGCGUUACUCGGAUUGACUGGGCGUAAAGGGCGCGUAGGCGGCCUGGUAAGUAGGGGGUGAAAUCCUGCGGCUUAACCGCAGGGCUGCCUUCUAAACUGUCAGGCUUGAGCACGGUAGAGGCAGAUGGAAUUCCCGGUGUAGCGGUGGAAUGCGUAGAGAUCCGGAAGAACACCGGUGGCGAAGGCGGCCCGCUGGGCAGGAAGGGAGAGCAAUCUCCCGGCUGACGCUGAGGCGGCGAACAGCGUGGGGAGCAAACAGG